rnacentral:rRNA from 1 species
GACGAACGCUGGCGGCGUGCUUAACACAUGCCAGUCGAACGGAAAGGCCCUGCUUUUGUGGGGUUCUCGAGUGGCGAACGGGUGAGUAACACGUGAGUAACCUGCCCUUGACUUUGGGAUAACUUCAGGAAACUGGGGCUAAUACCGGAUAGGAGCUCCUGCUGCAGGGUGGGGGUUGGAAAGUUUCGGCUGUUGGGGAUGGACUGGCGGCUUAUCAGCUUGUUGGUGGGGUAGUGGCUUACCAAGGCUUUGACGGGUAGCCGGCCUGAGAGGGUGACCGGCCACAUUGGGACUGAGAUACGGCCCAGACGCCUACGGGAGGCAGCAGGGGGGAAUAUUGCACAAUGGGCGGAAGCCUGAUGCAGCAACGCCGCGUGCGGGAUGACGGCCUUCGGGUUGUAAACCGCUGUCGCCUGUGACGAAGCGUGAGUGACGGUAAUGGGUAAAGAAGCACCGGCUAACUACGUG